rnacentral:rRNA from 1 species
UACGUAGGGGGCAAGCGUUGUCCGGAAUCAUUGGGCGUAAAGAGCGCGUAGGCGGCCCUGUAAGUCCGCUGUGAAAGUCAAGGGCUCAACCCUUGAAUGCCGGUGGAUACUGCAGGGCUAGAGUCCGGAAGAGGCGAGUGGAAUUCCUGGUGUAGGCGGUGAAAUGCGCAGAUAUCAAGGAGGAACACCGAUGGCGAAGG